rnacentral:lncRNA from 1 species
AAAAAGAGGGAAGAGCAGCAUUAACUGCAUCCACCUACUUCUUCCCAACAUUGAAAGAGCCUCCUCCUGCAUUCAAGUCGACUACACAUUCAAGAGGAGACCCGAAGUUCAAGAAGCCCUUCCUCUUCUCCAACUUAAAAGCGUUUGAGGGCUCUUAACUUCGUUAUUGUUCAUAUUGCCAUUUAUCUGCUUUUGAGAAGCUGUAUUUUUCUGUUUGUUCUUUUCAUCUACACAUUGUCUUUGCUUGGUUCAAUCGGGGGAUUGAAUCAAGGGUAUAGAGGUUGGUUGGUGAGCCGAGUGUAAAACCAACGUGUAAGGGUUCGAUUGUGAUCCCG